rnacentral:tRNA from 1 species
AUAAGCGGAGUAUAUCCAGUACAUUUCACUUACAAUGAAAAAGACUAAUUUCUUAGCGCUUAUU